rnacentral:rRNA from 1 species
UACGUAGGGUGCAAGCGUUGUCCGGAAUCAUUGGGCGUAAAGCGCGCGUAGGUGGUCAAGUAAGUCCGCUGUGAAAGUCAAAGGCUCAACCUUUGAAAGCCGGUGGAUACUGCUUGACUAGAGUACGGAAGAGGCGAGUGGAAUUCCUGGUGUAGCGGUGGAAUGCGCAGAUAUCAGGAGGAACACCAAUAGCGAAGGCAGCUCGCUGGGACGUUACUGACACUGAGGCGCGAAAGCGUGGGGAGCGAACAGG